UGAAGCUGGAAUUGNUAGUAAUGGCAGGUCAGCAUACUGCCGUGAAUACAUUCCCGGGCCUUGUACACACCGCCCGUCACACCAUGAGAGUUGGGAAUACCCGAAGCCUGUGAGCUAACUUAUAGAGGCAGCAGUCGAAGGUAGAAUCAAUGAUUGGGGUGAAGUCGUAACAAGGUAAC
rnacentral:rRNA from 1 species